UGAGGAAUAUUGGUCAAUGGGCGCAAGCCUGAACCAGCCAAGUAGCGUGCAGGAAGACGGCCCUAUGGGUUGUAAACUGCUUUUAUACGAGAAUAAUUUGAUGCACGUGUGCGUUAUUGCAUGUAUCGUAUGAAUAAGGACCGGCUAAUUCCGUGCCAGCAGCCGCGGUAAUACGGAAGGUCCAGGCGUUAUCCGGAUUUAUUGGGUUUAAAGGGAGUGUAGGCGGUUUGUUAAGCGUGUUGUGAAAUUUAGAUGCUCAACAUUUAACUUGCAGCGCGAACUGUCAGACUUGAGUACACGCAACGUAUACGGAAUUCAUGGUGUAGCGGUGAAAUGCUUAGAUAUCAUGAAGAACUCCGAUUGCGAAGGCAGCAUACGGGAGUGUAACUGACGCUUAAGCUCGAAGGUGCGGGUAUCGAACAGGAUUAGAUACCCUGGUAGUCCGCACAGUAAACGAUGGAUGCCCGCUGUUAGCGCCUGGCGUUAGCGGCUAAGCGAAAGCAUUAAGCAUCCCACCUGGGGAGUACGCCGGCAACGGUG
rnacentral:rRNA from 1 species